UGGAUUUGCUGAGUGGCGGACGGGUGAGUAACGCGUGGAUACCUGCCUCACACUGGGGGAUAACAGUUAGAAAUGACUGCUAAUACCGCAUAAGACCGCAUGGUAAAAACUCCGGUGGUGUGAGAUGGAUCCGCGUCUGAUUAGCCAGUUGGCGGGGUAACGGCCCACCAAAGCGACGAUCAGUAGCCGACCUGAGAGGGUGACCGGCCACAUUGGGACUGAGACACGGCCCAAACUCCUACGGGAGGCAGCAGUGGGGAAUAUUGCACAAUGGGGGAAACCCUGAUGCAGCGACGCCGCGUGAGUGAAGAAGUAUUUCGGUAUGUAAAGCUCUAUCAGCAGGGAAGAAGUGACGGUACCUGAAUAAGAAGCCCCGGCUAACUACGUGCCAGCAGCCGCGGUAAUACGUAGGGGGCAAGCGUUAUCCGGAUUUACUGGGUGUAAAGGGAGCGUAGACGGCAAGGCAAGUCUGAAGUGAAAGCCCGGUGCUUAACGCCGGGACUGCUUUGGAAACUGUUUAGCUGGAGUGCCGGAGAGGUAAGCGGAAUUCCUAGUGUAGCGGUGAAAUGCGUAGAUAUUAGGAAGAACACCAGUGGCGAAGGCGGCUUACUGGACGGUAACUGACGUUGAG
rnacentral:rRNA from 1 species